CUUAAAGUCUGUCGAUUUGUUUGAGCCGGCGGGUCGAAGGAGGAGGAGGAGGAGGGGGAGGAAGGGGAGCUGGACGACCACUGGCGGCAGACGGAAGAGGCUGCUUAGAGGGGCGCUCAAGCCGGAUCGAGGUGUCCCUCAGAGCUUAGAGGGGAAACGGCGACUCAGCUCCUUCUUCUAGCCGAGCCCAAGCGAACGAGCAAGCGAGCUCCUGCUCUAAGUCGCCGCCCUGACUAACUAACUAACCCGCGCUCGCUCUCGCCUACUUCCCCUUCCCGCCCCGCGAGCUGUCCUCCAGCAGACGCUCCACCUCCGACGACGACGAGACGCGGAAGUCGAAACCCGAGCCGUACGAGAAGUGGUUGGCGAAGACCUGUCGUGGUUCAUGGUUAUUGGUGUAGUACAGGGUUGUGUCCUCUGUUCUGGUCCUCAACGUUGAACACAGUCUCCUAACGUUAUGUUUCUCCUUCGUACCCCUCGUGUUCCUAUAUUACCCUCUCCAUUGGUCCUGGGUACUUCGGUAUGUUAACAACCUAUUCAGUUAGAGUUGCGACGUCUACCUCGAACGUCGUUUCGCUUCGUGCAACCUUGACCAGGCAAGACCACACGGUCAUUGAAGUCUUUGAUCAGUUGGUUCCUUUUUUCGUAAGCAACAGCAACCUCAAUUGUGGCGAAAGUCAUCGGCGUUCGCAGCACUAAGUCAGUCCCUCUGUACCUACGGAGUUCCACUCUUCGACGACGUCGAACUUCUUGUCUUCCCUUAUCAAUAGGCGAAGUGAUAUCCGGUAUCCCUGAUUUUCCUUAUAAGAUCUCGGGGAGUGUUUUAUAGUCUUAAUAACUUCGUGAUUUUUAUAUAUAUUGUAUAUAAACGAGGUUGAGUUUAUGUUAUACACAAUAAAGUUUUUAGGUUUUACAGUACCUUUUUACACGUAGUAGAGACCAAUGACAAAGGUCGUAAAGUUUUUUACUACUUGUAAAAACUUUCGGUAAAACCCAAGUGAUUUUUAUAAAAUCAACUUGGAUAACUUAAGGAAACUACGAUCCCAAACUUUGUUAGGGGUAAAGUUUAAAUUCUCUUUGAAUUUGUACUACGUUGUGUUCUGAUCGAUUGGGUCUCGUCCGGUCUUGAUCCCUACACUGUGGUUGCUGUUCGAACUGGUCCUAUUAGGCCAGGGGAACGGGGAACUACCGAUGGUGAGGUAUGAACUCCGAGCUACGGAUGAGGUAAAGACAAACAUCAACAGGGGCACAUGGUGUUGAACUUCGGCCAUAGGAGAUGGAGGAUGCGGAACACAGGGAAGGUAAACCAAAGAAGCUGUGUAUCCUACAGUUGUAGAGAGGAGUGGCAACGUAGGUGAUUAAGGGCAUUGAAUGUGAGGGAUGUAAAGUCGAUAGAUACGCCUAGGACGAUCCGAACCGAUCGACAGAACGAGAAGCGUGAACAGCUCGGUUUACGCUUCUGGGAACGAGUAAAAAAGUGAUGUGGGCCCGCAGCUAUAUCGCACGGUGAUUCCUACGCUGCUGUACUACGAGUGAAUAGUGGCAUAGGUCUAGUUCUAUUCCACGUGGUGGUUCCCCCACUGCCGGGCCCGGAACGGUAAAUUGUAAUGUGGGCCCAAGGCUAUACCGCAGAGCGAUUCUCCCAAUGCGGGGUUGCCACAAGAAGAUCCAAAGUAGAAGUAUUCUCACCGACGCAAAACUGAAACCGAGCGGUUCGGAUAGUGUUAGGAGGAAUUGGGUCCGAACCCUGGCCGAUGUGACUCUGUUGUAUCCACCUCAACGUACGUAGGUACUUAUUCGAUAUUAUUAAAAGUGGUUUAAACCCCAUUCUGUACGUGUUCAGAGAACGAUUCAACGAUCAACCGUUAAACGGUAGUCUUGUGGAGUUGAGGGAACCAACGUUACCUACUAAGUCACUGUGUUGAGAAUAAAUUAGGUAGAAGGAAUAGAAAAUAUAGAUUCAUCAAUCGGGGGUGAUUGAUAAAGAGAGUUGUACGUUCGUACGGUGUAGUAGCGUGUUGUACGUACUCUUUUCCGGGUGGAGGUGAUGGUAUACAGAGAGUCGUACGUUCGUACGGUGAAGUAGUACUUUGUACGUACCUUUUUCUGAGUAGAGUUGUACGUUUGUAUGUACUCUUAAAAGUAAGAUAAUACAAUAAAUAUAAAUUAUGUGUAAAAUUUUGAUAUAUCAUGAGUUUGUAUUAUUUAAUAUACAUAAAAGUCAAGGCCGGAAAGUAUAACAAUGAAGUUUAUAAGUACAAAGUAUGUUGCUUAGUGUAAAUUUAUACAACGUUUUAUAAAGGCGUUGUUGCACGCCCCAUAGUAGAUCAAGAUAUCUUGUCCCCACAAUUAUAAUCCCAACAAGAUACAACGAUAAGGACAGGCGAACUUUUAGACCAUGUUCAAGGAACGUUUUACACUUGACAAAACCACUAACACGUCACGAUGUAGGUUAUCAUAUAACCUGUUUCGUUAUCUACGUCUUCUACUUGUCGUAGUGCUGAAAGAAUCUGACCUGGUACAGCUCCCCAUAGUACUUGAGAGGCGUUUCUGUUUUUAGAAGAAGAGGUGCAGGCACCCGUAAACCCUACGACUGAAAAAGCAGUUCCAGCUACUACUACACGUACACUUGAAUCCUUACGAACGGUGAUGGGAACGCUCCGUAUUUCGCUUUGGUUCUUGAAUAUAACCGACGUACUUCAGUCCGGGUCAAGACCGACUGUUCUUAGACUUCAUGGUACUUGGACUCCGGACCUUUAAACCCCUCCUACCUUUGUUCAUAAAAGCGGUACGAUGACCUGUCUAUAUACGAUAGAGUUUUCUAGAACGCUGGAUAUAGAGUUAUUUAGUUGGAUAGAAUGUGUUCAUACGCUUGCUUCUACAUAGUGAACCCAGUACCAAAUAGCCCAAUCUCCAAUUAGUAUAACUACUUUCCUUGUACACGACGCCUUGAGGUGGUCUGACACUCACCUUUCCCGUUCGACCGUUAUAGACGCACCGUAGGAAACUAACCUCGACGUCGCCGUAUACGUUCAGGCAGCUCUCUGAGUUCCUACAUGUACGAGCUACGCCGCUUCCGCUAAGAAGACAAACCUCACUAGAUUAGAUCGAUUAUGGGAGGGACCGCAUUUAUACAUCGUAGGAGUCAUUUGGGACUGCUAGCACGGAGUCACCGAUGUUGACUUUACUGGCUUUAACGUGUUGUCCAGGCGUCUACCUGAUAUAAAGACCAUCAAGCCAGACUCCGUUGUGUACAUCACAUCUACUAUGAACAAGUCAGCAACUCUCUAGAGUCAUCUACCCUUAACGAAACACGGUAGUGGACACUGCAGUCAUCACAAUCUUCUCUCUGGUUUCGCUCGCUCAAUGUGUCGACGACACAUGGUGUCUAAUCCCCUUUUGUAGAUGACGUUUAAAACUAGUUAAGAAAACUACAGCCAAGAAAAACAAUAGGAAACGUCCUUGUGGACUUUUAUCCUAAGUUAGGAGUUAAAACAGAACUUUUAAGUUACGUUGUAUGGCAUUUUUUCGUUGUAUAAAAACUUCCGUCCUCAUAGCGCAGCUGUGUGAGACGGACACAGCUACUUAAUUCUAGGCGGCUAGAAUACGAGCCCUCCAAUGGCACCUUAUUACAUGUUUACCCCCAACACAUACUUCCCAGGAGGAUC
rnacentral:rRNA from 1 species